GAUGAACGCUGGCGGCGUGCCUAAUACAUGCAAGUCGAGCGAACAGACGAUGAGCUUGCUCCUCUGACGUUAGCGGCGGACGGGUGAGUAACACGUGGAUAACCUACCUAUAAGACUGGGAUAACUUCGUGAAACCGGAGCUAAUACCGGAUAAUAUAUUCAACCGCAUGGUUCAAUAGUGAAAGACGGUUUUGCUGUCACUUAUAGAUGGUUCCGCGCCGCAUUAGCUAGUUGGUAAGGUAACGGCUUACCAAGGCAACGAUGCGUAGCCGACCUGAGAGGGUGAUCGGCCACACUGGAACUGAGACACGGUCCAGACUCCUACGGGAGGCAGCAGUAGGGAAUCUUCCGCAAUGGGCGCAAGCCUGACGGAGCCAUGCCGCGUGAGUGAUGAAGGUCUUCGGAUCGUAAAACUCUGUUAUUAGGGAAGAAAAACUGUGUAAGUAACUCUGCACGUCCUGACGGUACCUAAUCAGAAAGCCACGGCUAACUACGUG
rnacentral:rRNA from 1 species